AGUUGGAUUUCUGGCAGGAGCGACCGGUCGCGCACUCUGUGCGUGAACUUGUGUUGUCUCUGGCCAUCCUCGGGGAGAUCCUGUUUGGCAUUAAGUUGUCGGGCAGGGGAUACCCGUCGUUUACUGUGAAAAAAUUAGAGUGUUUAAAGCAGGCUUAUGCCGUUGAAUAUAUUAGCAUGGAAUAAUAAGAUAGGACUUCGGAACUAUUUUGUUGGUUUGCGUUACGAAGUAAUGAUUAAUAGGG
rnacentral:rRNA from 1 species